UACGUAGGUGACCAGCGUUGUCCGGAUUUACUGGGCGUAAAGAGCUCGUAGGCGGUUCGUCGCGUCGGCUGUGAAAACCUGAGGCUCAACCUCAGGCCUGCAGUCGAUACGGGCGGACUUGAGUACUGCAGGGGAGACUGGAAUUCCUGGUGUAGCGGUGAAAUGCGCAGAUAUCAGGAGGAACACCGGUGGCGAAGGCGGGUCUCUGGGCAGUAACUGACGCUGAGGAGCGAAAGCGUGGGGAGCGAGCAGG
rnacentral:rRNA from 1 species